rnacentral:lncRNA from 1 species
AAAAUUAUUUUAAAAAAUUGCUUUUUCCGUUUAGAGAAGGAAUGUAGCAAAUGUAUCCACAAAUAAUGUGUAAAGUACAGUUAAUGCUCACUAAUCUCAUCUGUGUUCCGGUCUUCUUCUCAGAAUCUCUCUCUGAGUCAGUCUUCAUUCGCUCUGACUGCGCUGGGUUUAUUCACCUCAUCUCAUCUGACCGCUUGGUUUUCACUGCAGCUGAGAGGAUGCAGGCUCGAGUGCUGCUGAUCCUGAUACUCUCAUCAGUAUUAAUCACACAUGCUAAAGUGGACAAAUUCACAUGUGAAACUCCAGCCGAUAUUGUGAUGCUGGUGGACGGAUCGGGGAGUAUUAGCCAAGACAACUUCCAAACUGUGAAGACCUUUCUGGAAAGAUUUGUCAGGUCCUUUGGGGUUGGAUCAAACCAAACACGCAUUGGUACGUUUGCACUAUAUGUAUUCCCUGUAAGCUGCGCGCGCACGCGGCUGCGCACUUCUUCCACCGCGAACGCGCAGAAGAAAUAAUGUGCCGCUCACACGCAAAAAUGAGUUGGGAAAGCAAUUUCAUAGUAUUUUAGUAAAAACAAAAAAAAUUGCAAUG